AUACGGAGGAUCCGAGCGUUAUCCGGAUUUAUUGGGUUUAAAGGGUGCGCAGGCGGCCAUUUAAGUCAGCGGUUAAAUCGUGGGGCUCAACCCCAUUCUGCCGUUGAUACUGGGUGGCUUGAUUGCGGUCGAGGUUGGCGGAAUUCGUUGUGUAGCGGUGAAAUGCAUAGAUAUGACGAAGAACACCGAUUGCGUGGGCAGCUGACCAGAUCGCAAAUGACGCUCAUGCACGAAAGUGCGGGGAUCGAACAGGAUUAGAUACCCUGGUAGUCCGCACAGUAAACGAUGAAUACUUGUUUUCGGCGAUAUAAUGUCGGAGGCAAAGCGAAAGCGAUAAGUAUUCCACCUGGGGAGUACGCCGGCAACGGUGAAACUCAAAGGAAUUGACGGGG
rnacentral:rRNA from 1 species